GAGAAUCUAUUCCCCAAGUUGCAAAUGGAAGCAUCUAAAGUGGUCAGGAAGGCCAACCUGCAGCUAUCCAUGGACACGACACUUAUUGUGAAAAUCCCAGAACACAGCAGUGAGGUUGAAGAACCCUCCUGGACCACAGAGACUGAAAAGGACUACAUUAGAAAGAACACACAGGUAACUAAAUAGAAUUGGAAAAAAAAAUGCCUGAAUGAAAUGAGAAGUUCAACAAAGAAACAAACUAUAAAAAAACAACAACCAAACAGAAAUCCUAAAGAUAAAGAAUAUAAUAAUUGGACUGAAGAAUUCAACAGAGAGCUUCAGCAACAGAUCUGACCAUCAGAAGAAAGAAUCAAUGAACUGAAAGGUAAUUUUGAAUUAUCCAAGAAGAGGAGCAAAAAGAAAACAG